rnacentral:snoRNA from 1 species
UGGAUCAAUGAUGACCGUGGGUAGCUUAUGAGUCGGAUCGUGACUUCAAGUCUUAGUCUGAGGUCCAC